CAUCGGGCCUGGUUCCUGGGGUAUACCUCCCAUAAAUCAGUUCCCAAGCCUGCUGCACAAUUGCAAUGCCUCUCUUUCAAGCAGCUCUGGGAAAAAAUGGUUCCAUCUGCACACUGCUAGGUAAUAAACUGGAAGUGGAGCAAAUGGAUGGAAAGCAAUUUUUGGAAGAUGAAUUUCCAAAAGUAUUGGCCACCAUUUCUGCACCUCUUCUGGUACUGGAAAUGCCUGAGACCCUCAGGUCUGAGGGCCUGAGGGCUGGAGGAGGCACCAAUGGACAGAAAAAGAGAAAAAGGCUACUUCUUGUGUGAAGGGCUGGCCAGGAAAGGGUUCUUACAAAGGACUUCCCAUUAAUGACUCUUCCUCCUUCUUCUUUUUGUCUUUCACCUUCAUCUUCCCCACCACUACCUUCAUCAUCACCAGCACCAUCAUUAUUACCAUCAUCAUCAUCAUGGUUAAUUGGUUAAUUGGCCUAUUGAGGCCUUCUUAUGUACCAGCCAGCGCUGUGCUGAAAUCUGUAUAUCUUUAUGUGAAUUACCUCUUUUCAAGUCCUACCAAUGCCUGCCCUGAUUACAUUACAUAAGACUGCAAACCCAACCCCCCACUGGCAUGCUCUAUGGCCCUUACUUUGCUUUGUUUUUCUCCAUACCUUUUAUUAACUUCUUUUAAAAAAAUUCAUAUUCAGGGGGUACAUGUGCGGUUGUGUUGCAUGGAUAUAUUACGUGAUGCUGAGGUUUGGGCUUCUAAUGAGCCCGUUGCUCAGAUAAUGAAUGUAGUAUCCAAUAGGUAGUUUUUCAGCCCUUGCUCCCCUCCUUCCCUCCCUCUUUUUGGAAGCCCCUAUGUCUAUUGUUUCCACCUUUAGGUCCAUGUGUACCCAAUGUUCAGCUCCUAUUUAUAAGUGAGGACAUGUGGUAUUAGGUUUUCUGUUUCUGCAUUAAUUCACUUAGGAUAGCAGCCUCCAGCUGCAUCCAUGUUGCU
rnacentral:lncRNA from 10 species